rnacentral:rRNA from 1 species
UACGUAGGGUGCAAGCGUUGUCCGGAAUUAUUGGGCGUAAAGAGCUCGUAGGCGGUCUGUCGCGUCUGCUGUGAAAACUCGGGGCUUAACCCCGGGCCUGCAGUGGGUACGGGCAGACUAGAGUGCGGUAGGGGAGACUGGAAUUCCUGGUGUAGCGGUGAAAUGCGCAGAUAUCAGGAGGAACACCGGUGGCGAAGGCGGGUCUCUGGGCCGUAACUGACGCUGAGGAGCGAAAGCUAGGGGAGCGAACGGG